GAUGAACGCUGGCGGCGUGCCUAAUACAUGCAAGUCGAGCGAACAGACGAGAACCGUGCUCCUCGGACGUGAGCGCCAGAGGGGUGAGUAACACGGGGAUAACCGACUGAGAAGACUGGCAUAAAUUCGGGAAUCGGGAGCUGAUACCGGAUAAUAUAUUGAACCACAUGGUUCAAUAAUAAAAUUCGGCGGUCAUGGCACUAAUAGAUGUAGCCGGGCCGCAGUAUCUAGUUGGUAAGGUAACGGCUUAACAAGGCAAAGACGCGGAGCCGACCUGAGAGGGUGGUCGGCCACACUGGAACUGAGACACGGUCCCGACUCCUAAGGGAGGCAGCAGUAGGGAAUCUUCCGCGAUGGGCGAAAGCUUGACGGAGCAAAACCGCGUGAGUGCUGAAGGACUUACGAUCGUAAAACUAUGUAAUUAGGGGAGUACUAAUGUGUAAGUAAAUAUGCACGUAUUGACGGUACCUAAUAAGAAAGCCACGGCUAAAUACGUG
rnacentral:rRNA from 1 species